rnacentral:rRNA from 1 species
AGGCAGCAGGCGCGCAAAUUACCCAAUCCCGACACGGGGAGGUAGUGACAAUAAAUAACAAUAUAGGGCUCUUUCGGGUCUUAUAAUUGGAAUGAGUACAAUUUAAAUCCCUUAACGAGGAACAAUUGGAGGGCAAGUCUGGUGCCAGCAGCCGCGGUAAUUCCAGCUCCAAUAGCGUAUAUUAAAGUUGUUGCAGUUAAAAAGCUCGUAGUUGAACUUCAGGCUUGGUCGGGCGGUCCGCCUCACGGUGUGUACUGUCUGACUGAGUCUUACCUCUUGGUGAACCGGCGUGCCCUUUAUUGGUGUGCGUCGGGGAACCAGGACUUUUACCUUGAGAAAAUUAGAGUGUUCAAAGCAGGCCUAUGCCUGAAUACAUUAGCAUGGAAUAAUAAAAUAGGACGUCGGUUCUAUUUUGUUGGUUUCUAGAGUCGCCGUAAUGAUUAAUAGGGAUAGUUGGGGGCAUUGGUAUUGAGUCGCUAGAGGUGAAAUUCUUGGAUUGACUCAAGACCGACUAUUGCGAAAGCAUUUGCCAAGGAUGUUUUCAUUAAUCAAGAACGAAGGUUAGGGGAUCGAAAACGAUCAGAUACCGUUGUAGUCUUAACAGUAAACUAUGCCGACUAGGGAUCGGGCGACCUCAAAUUUGAUGCGUCGCUCGGCACCUUACGAGAAAUCAAAGUCUUU